UACGUAGGGUGCGAGCGUUGCCCGGAUUUAUUGGGCGUAAAGAGCUCGUAGGCGGUUCCGUAAGUCGGGUGUGAAAAAUCUGGGCUCAACCCAGUGGAGCACCCGAUACUGCGGUGACUCGAGUCCGGUAGGGGAGUGUGGAAUUCCUGGUGUAGCGGUGAAAUGCGCAGAUAUCAGGAGGAACACCGACGGCGAAGGCAGCACUCUGGGCCGGUACUGACGCUGAGGAGCGAAAGCAUGGGGAGCGAACAGG
rnacentral:rRNA from 1 species